AUGGACCGGGGGCGAUCCGCAGCCGUCCACGGAGGAGCGGGCGGCCGAUGCAGCGCCGGUCCACCGGGCCCUCGUGGGGGAGAAACGCCCACGGCUAUAAAGGCAAGCGGCCGCGCCCCGUCAGCUCAUCCGGUUGGUCGGUCUCCUUCCCUCCCUCCCUAUCGUCUGUUUCCUUCGGCCGAAAAGCUCCCCUGUUCCCUGCGCCUCCUCCGCCUCUCCUCGUCCCCGGCCUCCGCUCCGUCUGCUCUCGGUAAUUGGAUGGCCUCGCCUAAGACGCCGACACAGUCCACCGGCGCCCAGGAGGAGGCCGCGGCCCGCCAGUCGCUCAUCGGGAUCUCCCAGUCCACCCCGGCGGCGGGAGAAGCCCUGAGCGUCAAGUCACCGAACGGACGCAUGGAACACGGGCAGGACGACAGCGGGGCGGCCGACAAGUCCAGGUCGAUGCUCAUGUCCAUCUCCAACCAGUCGCCGGAGGCGCGCCAAGCCACGCCGUGCCCGCACAGCAACGCCGCUUGA
rnacentral:rRNA from 1 species